rnacentral:rRNA from 1 species
UGCAGUCGAGCGGACGACGGAAUUGUGUUCUCCUUAUCUCAGCGGCGCACGGGAGAGAAGCCCAUGAAUCUGCUGGCUGUAGGACUGUAAUAACUCCGGAAAACCGCUACUACUACCUACUGCUUGAUUGAACCGCAUGGUUCACUUCUAACCUGUGGCUUUUAGAUACCACUUACUCAUGUACCCUAGGUGCAUUAGCUAGUUGCUGACGUAACGACUCACCAAAGCUGCGAUGCGAAGACGACCUGACACACUGAUCCUGCAACCUGGGACUGACACCCACCCCAGACUCCUACGGGAAGCAUUGGAAGGGAAUCUUCCGCCUUGUACGAACGUGUGACGGAGGAGCGCCGCGUGAGCGAUGAGGGUUUUCCUAUCGUAAAACUCUGUUGUUAGGGAAGAACAACUACCGUUCGAAUAGGGUGCCACCUUGACGGUACCUAACCAAAAACCCGCCGCUAACUACGUGCCAACAACCGCGGCAAUACGUAAGCGGCAUUCGUUGUCCGGAAUUAUUGGGAGGAGAGCGCGCGCAGGGGAUGUCUUAUGUCUGAUGUGAAACUCCCCGGCUCAUCCGGAGAUGCUGAUUGAAAACUGGGGAACUUGAGUGGAGAAUAGGAGAGUGGAAUUCCACGUGUAACGUAGAAAUGCGUAGAGAUGUGGAGGAACACCAGUGCCGAACGCGACUCUCUGCUGUGUAGCUGACGCUGGGGGCGACGAAAGCGUGUUAAGUGACACAGGGAUUUAGCUACGCCCUGG